UGGGGAACCUGCCCCAUAGUCUGGGAUACCACUUGGAAACAGGUGCUAAUACCGGAUAAGAAAGCGGAUCGCAUGAUCAGCUUUUAAAAGGAGGCGUAAGCUGUCGCUAUGGGAUGGCCCCGCGGUGCAUUAGCUAGUUGGUAAGGUAAAGGCUUACCAAGGCGAUGAUGCAUAGCCGAGUUGAGAGACUGAUCGGCCACAUUGGGACUGAGACACGGCCCAAACUCCUACGGGAGGCAGCAGAC
rnacentral:rRNA from 1 species